rnacentral:rRNA from 1 species
UACGUAGGGGGCAAGCGUUGUCCGGAUUUAUUGGGUUUAAAGGGUGCGUAGGCGGCCUAUUAAGUCAGUGGUGAAAUAUCUCAGCUUAACUGAGAAGGUGCCAAUGAUACUGAUGGGCUUGAGUACAGAUGAGGUAGGCGGAAUUGACGGUGUAGCGGUGAAAUGCUUAGAUAUCGUCAAGAACACCUAUAGCGAAGGCAGCUUACUAGGCUGUAACUGACGCUGAGGCACGAAAGUGUGGGAUCAAACAGG